UCUCGGUAACAGCUGCGCGUGUACUAAGUUUGGAAAGAUGGAGAGAAAAUCAGCCCAGCCCCUGCCUGAGAACGACAUGCAAAUUCAUGAAGUGUUCCGUAUUGGU
ensembl:snRNA U6 U6 spliceosomal RNA